UACGGAGGGUGCAAGCGUUAUCCGGAUUCACUGGGUUUAAAGGGUGCGUAGGUGGGCAGGUAAGUCAGUGGUGAAAUCUCCGGGCUUAACUCGGAAACUGCCAUUGAUACUAUCUGUCUUGAAUACCGUGGAGGUUAGCGGAAUAAGUCAUGUAGCGGUGAAAUGCUUAGAUAUGACUUAGAACACCAAUUGCGAAGGCAGCUUGCUAAACAAACAUUGACGCUGAGGCACGAAAGCGUGGGGAUCAAACAGG
rnacentral:rRNA from 1 species